UACAGAGGGGGCAAGCGUUUGUUCGGAAUUACUGGGCGUAAAGGGCGCGUAGGCGGCCUUCUAAGUCGAACGUGAAAUCCCUGGGCUCAACCCAGGAACUGCGUCCGAUACUGGAAGGCUUGAAUCCGGGAGAGGGAUGCGGAAUUCCAGGUGUAGCGGUGAAAUGCGUAGAUAUCUGGAGGAACACCGGUGGCGAAGGCGGCAUUCUGGACCGAUAUUGACGCUGAGGAGCGAAAGCCAGGGGAGCAAACAGG
rnacentral:rRNA from 1 species